rnacentral:rRNA from 1 species
AUUGAACGCUGGCGGCAUGCUUUACACAUGCAAGUCGAACGGGGUUGGGAGCUUGCGUUCCAAUCUAGUGGCGAACGGGUGAGUAAUACAUCGGAACGUACCGUGUAGUGGGGAUAACGGUAGCGAAAGUUACGCUAAUACCGCAUACGAUCCACGGAUGAAAGCGAGGGGACCUUCGGGCCUUGUGCUAUACGAGCGGCCGAUGUCUGAUUAGCUAGUUGGUGGGGUAAAGGCCCACCAAGGCAACGAUCAGUAGCGGGUCUGAGAGGAUGAUCCGCCACACUGGGACUGAGACACGGCCCAGACUCCUACGGGAGGCAGCAGUGGGGAAUUUUUGGACAAUGGGCGCAAGCCUGAUCCAGCCAUGCCGCGUGUCUGAAGAAGGCCUUCGGUUGUAAGG